rnacentral:rRNA from 1 species
GACGAACGCUGGCGGCGUGCCUAAUACAUGCAAGUCGAACGCUUCUUUCCUCCCGAGUGCUUGCACUCAAUUGGAAAGAGGAGUGGCGGACGGGUGAGUAACACGUGGGUAACCUACCCAUCAGAGGGGGAUAACACUUGGAAACAGGUGCUAAUACCGCAUAACAGUUUAUGCCGCAUGGCAUAAGAGUGAAAGGCGCUUUCGGGUGUCGCUGAUGGAUGGACCCGCGGUGCAUUAGCUAGUUGGUGAGGUAGCGGCUCACCAAGGCCACGAUGCAUAGCCGACCUGAGAGGGUGAUCGGCCACACUGGGACUGAGACACGGCCCAGACUCCUACGGGAGGCAGCAGUAGGGAAUCUUCGGCAAUGGACGAAAGUCUGACCGAGCAACGCCGCGUGAGUGAAGAAGGUUUUCGGAUCGUAAAACUCUGUUGUUAGAGAAGAACAAGGACGUUAGUAACUGAACGUCCCCUGACGGUAUCUAACCAGAAAGCCACGGCUAACUACGUGC